rnacentral:rRNA from 1 species
AAUCAACGCUGGCGGCGUGCCUAACACAUGCAAGUCGAACGAGAAAGUGGGGGCAACUCCAUGAGUACAGUGGCAGACGGGUGAGUAACACGUGAACAAUCUACCCUCGAGUGGGGAAUAACACCGCGAAAGCGGUGCUAAUACCGCAUAACAUCCCCGGAUCGCAUGACCUGGAGAUCAAAAGCGCAAGUUGCUUGAGGAGGAGUUAGCGCCUGAUUAGCUAGGUGGUGAGGUAACGGCCCACCAAGGCAACGAUCAGUAGCCGGCCUGAGAGGGCGAACGGCCACACUGGAACUGAGACACGGUCCAGACUCCUACGGGAGGCAGCAGUGGGGAAUUUUGCGCAAUGGGCGAAAGCCUGACGCAGCAACGCCGCGUGGAGGAUGAAGGCCUUCGGGUCGUAAACUCCUGUCAGUGGGGACGAAUGCUUCGCAAGAAGUUUGACUGUACCCGCUGAGGAAGCCACGGCUAACUCCGUGCCAG